AGGGCAACCCCCCGUUGGCAGGUGCGACGGCGACGUACCCCUACCCUGCCAAAGGGGAUUUGCCCGGC